rnacentral:rRNA from 1 species
GACGAAGGGGGCUAGCGUUGUUCGGAAUUACUGGGCGUAAAGCGCGUGUAGGCGGUUGUUCAAGUCAGGUGUAAAAGCCUUGAGCUCAACUCAAGAAAUGCACUUGAUACUGGAUGACUAGAGGACCGGAGAGGAUAGUGGAAUUCCCAGUGUAGUGGUGAAAUACGUAGAGAUUGGGAAGAACACCAGUGGCGAAGGCGGCUAUCUGGACGGUUUCUGACGCUAAGACGCGAAAGCGUGGGGAGCAAACAGG